rnacentral:rRNA from 1 species
UACAGAGGGUGCAAGCGUUGUUCGGAAUUAUUGGGCGUAAAGCGCGUGUAGGCGGCUUUGCAAGUCGGGUGUGAAAGCCCUCAGCUCAACUGAGGAAGUGCGCCCGAAACUGCAGAGCUUGAGUACCGGAGAGGAUGGCGGAAUUCCCCAAGUAGAGGUGAAAUUCGUAGAUAUGGGGAGGAACACCGGUGGCGAAGGCGGCGACCUGGGUAGAUACUGACGCUGAGGUGCGAAAGCGUGGGGAGCAAACAGG